UACGGAGGAUCCAAGCGUUAUCCGGAAUCAUUGGGUUUAAAGGGUCCGUAGGCGGGCCUGUAAGUCAGUGGUGAAAUCUCCCCGCUCAACGGGGAAACUGCCAUUGAUACUGCAGGCCUUGAAUUAUUGGGAAGUAACUAGAAUAUGUAGUGUAGCGGUGAAAUGCUUAGAGAUUACAUGGAAUACCGAUUGCGAAGGCAGGUUACUAUCAAUACAUUGACGCUGAUGGACGAAAGCGUGGGGAGCGAACAGGA
rnacentral:rRNA from 1 species